rnacentral:rRNA from 1 species
AUCGUAUCAAGGUCUCCGUUGGUGAACCAGCGGAGGGAUCAUUACUGAGUUACCGCUCUAUAACCCUUUGUGAACGUACCUAACCGUUGCUUCGGCGGGCAGGGGAAGCCUCUCGCGGGCCUCCCCUCCCGGCGCCGGCCCCCACCACGGGGACGGGGCGCCCGCCGGAGGAAACCAAACUCUAUUUACACGACGUCUCUUCUGAGUGGCACAAGCAAAUAAUUAAAACUUUUAACAACGGAUCUCUUGGUUCUGGCAUCGAUGAAGAACGCAGCGAAAUGCGAUAAGUAAUGUGAAUUGCAGAAUUCAGUGAAUCAUCGAAUCUUUGAACGCACAUUGCGCUCGCCAGCAUUCUGGCGAGCAUGCCUGUUCGAGCGUCAUUUCAACCCUCAAGCACCGCUUGGUUUUGGGGCCCCACGGCACACGUGGGCCCUUGAAGGUAGUGGCGGACCCUCCCGGAGCCUCCUUUGCGUAGUAACUAACGUCUCGCACUGGGAUCCGGAGGGACUCUUGCCGUAAAACCCCCCAAUUCUUUACAGGUUGACCUCGGAUCAGGUAGGAAUACCCGCUGAACUUAAGCAUAUCAAUAAGGCCGGAGGAA